rnacentral:rRNA from 1 species
UACGUAGGGUGCAAGCGUUGUCCGGAAUUAUUGGGCGUAAAGCGCGUGUAGGCGGACUGGAAGGUCUGGUGUGAAAGCCCGGGGCUCAACCCCGGAGGGUCACUGGAAACCGACAGUCUUGAGUCCGGAAGAGGAGAGUGGAAUUCCUGGUGUAGCGGUGAAAUGCGCAGAUAUCAGGAGGAACACCAAUUGCGAAGGCAGCUCGCUGGGACGUUACUGACGCUGAGACGCGAAAGCGUGGGGAGCAAACAGG